ensembl:misc_RNA Metazoa_SRP Metazoan signal recognition particle RNA
GCCAGGUGUGGUGGCUCACGCCUGUAAUCCAAGCACUUUGGGGGCCAAGGCGGGCGGAUCACCUGAGGUCAGGAGUUCAAGACCAGCCUGACCAACAUGGUGAAACCCUGUCUUUA